UCAACAAAACCUGAAUCCAGUUUGCACAUAUGGCACAUUAACUUUAUUACAAGAUUAAACUGGCCGGAUAAUUGAUAAUUGUCAUUGGCCUUUUGAUUCAGAGAUGGACUGUAAUGGGCUUGUAGUCGAAAACAAUGACUUUCUCCAGGUGGGGCAGGAACAGAUUUGCGAAUUCGACAUGGGCUGGAUGAGAUACAUACUCUGCAAUGCCUUCCACACUCUCGAAGGUUGACUCGAAGACAUGAGUGAAACCUUGAUGCAUGUUCUCAAUGCUCACAUCCUUGCCCCUGUUACAUUACAGAAGAUGUCACAAGUUUUAGAGAUUUAAGGCAUGAUGGUAACAGGCAGCAUAACCAUUUCGCCAGGCACAACUCAAAGACAUCAGACUCAAACAUGAACCAUCGUAAAUUUCUUCACUUAUAUGAAAACAGAAAUGUUAGAAAGAGAUCUAUUGGUUCAACUGAAAUUGUUCUGAGCAACUGAUGCCUCAUUAUCAGAUGAGUUCAAGGCAUCUGCUUGGCAAAUUAAUAUUGAAGUUCACUGAGUCAUCAUUAAGGCUUCUUGUUCAUUAUGAAAAUGGAAGCAGUCUUAAGUGGUGUUUGUUUUUUUACUUAAUUCUAAAUAGAACUUUAAUACUUAAUAGUGUUAAAUAUUAAGUUGUUUGUUUUUGUAGUAUUUUAUUUUUAUUAAGUAUUAAAAAGUAAAAAAAAAAUCAAUAUGUUAUUUUUUCUAUUUAGAAAAAGCUAUAUAUUUUAAUUUUUUCUAUUUAGUAAAAAGUUUAUAAUAAAUCAUGAAAAAGUAAGAAAACAAACAACUUAAACUCUGAAAACAAAUUACUUUCAGCAAAAAAAUAAAAAAAACAAACACCACCUCAAUUCUUAUACAAAAAGCAUAUACCGGAGAAUUUCAUCAUUCAUGUAAGAAAACCUAUGAAAAUCCAAGCAUGUUAUGCAGAUGACCUACUAAGAGUGCGGUUGACAAUAUUUUUAUUCUAAGCAUUUUUAUUAAAGUUUUUUCUUUAGAAAUGUUUUUGAGAGAAUCACUUAUCAAGUGUUUUUCCAAGAAAUACUACAAGCAAUUUUUCAAUUUUGUAAAAAUGUUUUCUAUGUUGUAAAUUAAGGGAAAUGAAUGACCACAUUGAUGGUCAUUAUGAACUCCAUUUACUCAUCUUUAAGAUGAGUAAUGGGAGUUCAUAAUGUGAAGCCUAUAAAAGGCUUCUUACCCCUCCCAUGUAAUAGCAUCCCGAGAAAGAAAGAAAGCUCUUCCUCUCAUUCUCUCUCUCUCUCUCUUUCACUUUCUCAAUUCUCUUAUUUGAUUCCUUCUUCCAUAUUAUAUAUCAAAGUAAGAUAUAUUUUAUCUCUAUUACUUUGAUUUGCAUUAUAUUUGUCCUUGUUUUACAACACGUUAUCAGCACGAAUUGCUCUGAAGGUAAUUCUCGUAUCUUCACUUAAAGUUAUUUAUAUAGAAUAAAAUUUUACAUAUUUAUAUUAUUGUUGAUUUGUUUUGUUACAUAUUGUUAAAAGUUGUAAACAAAUUAUUUGAUUUUGUUUAUAAUCAAAGUUAUACCAAUGCUAUCAAGUUAUUAUAACUGAUUUUAAUAAUAUUGUUUUGUCAUAUAUAUAUGAAGUUAUUUGACAAUGUCGAAUAUCACAAAACUCGAAUUUGUGGCACUUGACAUUUCGGGAAAGAACUAUCUAUCUUGGAUCCUUGAUGCUGAAUUACAUCUUGAUGCAAUGAACCUUGGAGCUACGAUCAAACAAGGAAAUCAAGCAUCCCUGCAGGAUCGCGCAAAAGCAUUGAUUUUCCUUCGUCAUCACCUCCAUGAAGGUUUAAAAAAUGAGUAUCUUACGGUAAAGGACCCUUUUACUCUAUGGAGUAAUUUGAAGGAAAGAUGACCACCAGAAAACUGUGAUUCUCCCAAAAGCUCGAUAUGAUUGGAUGCACCUAAGGUUGCAAGAUUUUAAAACUGUUAGUGAAUACAACUCUGCACUUUUCAAAAUUAGCUCUCAAUUAAAGUUGUGUGGAGAAAAAAUNNNNNNNNNNNNNNNNNNNNNNNNNNNNNNNNNNNNNNNNNNNNNNNNNNNNNNNNNNNNNNNNNNNNNNNNNNNNNNNNNNNNNNNNNNNNNNNNNNNNAUAUUGCGUUAUCUUCGCGGAACUACUGAUAUGGGUUUAUUUUACUCAAGGGAAUCAAAGCAACAAUUGCUUGGAUAUGCAGAUGCAGGAUAUCUUUCAGAUCCACAUAAAGGCAGGUCACAAACAGGGUAUGUGUUUAAUUGCAAUGGUACUGCUAUUUCAUGGAGAUCUGUCAAACAAACAAUGGUAGCUACAUCAUCAAAUCAUUCAGAAAUACUGGCAAUUCAUGAAGCAAGUCGUGAAUGUAUAUGGCUAAGAUCUAUGAUCCAGCAUAUUCGGGAAUCAUGUGGACUCUCCUCUAUCAAAGGUGGCCCGACAACAUUAUUUGAAGAUAAUGCUGCAUGCAUUGCACAAAUAACAGGGGGUUAUAUUAAAGGAGAUAGAACUAAACACAUUUCACCAAAAUUCUUUUAUACACAUGAACUCCAGAAGAGUGGUGAAAUUGAUGUGCAACAAAUACGCUCAAUUGAUAAUCUAGCAGAUUUAUUCACAAAAUCAUUGCCAACCUCAACAUUCAAGAAGUUAAUACACAGGAUUGGAAUGCGUCAACUCAAGGAUAUCGACAUGAGGGAGAGUAUGCUUGUAAAAGGGUGUUAGUGUACUGUACUCUUUUUUUUUUUCCUUCGUCCAGGUUUUGUCCUACUGGGUUUUACUGGCAAGGUUUUUAACGAGGCAGUCCUAAUAUACCAAGAAAAGAAUAUUGUACUCUUUUUCCUUCGCUAGGUUUUUCCUAUAGGGUUUUUUACUGGCAAGGUUUUAAUGAGGCAUAUUCUUUUAAUAUGGUGGUCAUCCAAGGGGGAGUGUUGUAAAUUAAGGGAAAUGAAUGACCACAUUGAUGGUCAUUAUGAACUCCAUUUACUCAUCUUUAAGAUGAGUAAUGGGAGUUCAUAAUGUGAAGCCUAUAAAAGGCUUCUUACCCCUCCCAUGUAAUAGCAUCCCGAGAAAGAAAGAAAGCUCUUCCUCUCAUUCUCUCUCUCUCUCUCUUUCACUUUCUCAAUUCUCUUAUUUGAUUCCUUCUUCCAUAUUAUAUAUCAAAGUAAGAUAUAUUUUAUCUCUAUUACUUUGAUUUGCAUUAUAUUUGUCCUUGUUUUACAACAUUCUAAAUUUUGUUAAAUACUUUAUUUUUUUUCCAAAAGUGCUUUUUAAACCUAGUAUUUUCUAAAAAUAUGGUCAAACAGGUUCUAAAUCGUGUUAGACACAGACUCUAAUUCCAUCUAGGUGCUCAAAGGGCAUCUUUCACAUAAAUGAAGCCACAAAAGAAAGAGUGACUUCUAAUCAAACUUUAAGAUAAACUUUCACAUCAAACUUAGAAGUACCGAAACUAUGUUUUGGUAACCUGGUUUUAGUUGUUGUGAAUCUAAACAUGUACAUGAGGUUUUGAAAGUCUUGACAUAAUUGCUAAGAAAGCGGGCACCAUCUUGGUGAGAGUUCUCACGACGUGCUUACUAACUUUAAAAAAAAUCACUUUCAGAAAAAAGUCCUGCAAGAAGCAUAUAUUGUCAAGCUAAAAGAGGAAUAUUUUGGUUCUAGCUACAUGCCAAAGCACUAAAUUAUCUUCACUUAUUUUCCUUUUAGGCAUGCUUCAAUUACAACUAAAAAGCAUUCUAUAGACAACUGAUAUUUCACCUGUGAAGUUUUUUCAACACAUGAUAUGAUAAUUGUUUGAAAAUUUGGAACUUUCUUCUCAAUAUAGGACCAGAUGUUCCUGAACGUCUAUAAAAUUUUAAAAAUAUGUAUAUACAAAGAAGCACCAACAAUAAUUAUCAAAUAAUUAUUGUAGGACCAACAUAUGCUAGUGUAGUUGGUAAGUAGGACCGACAGGCAUAGGCACAAAAACUGGGGUGUGAGAGUUUGGCAGUGCAAUACUUUUGUUUCAGUGAGAAUCUGAUUUGUAAACCUUUAUUAACUAAAUGAAAGAUGAUGUGCAUGAAAUCAUGUAGCUUACUUGGUCUAUUUCUAGAUACUAGCUACCAAAGCAUUUUUUUUUUUUUUUUUUUUACAUCAGAUCUACUUCCUUUCACUUCAAUUAUAACACCCAAAAUCGAAUACGACAAUAAAAAAAAGUUAAACGCUCAGUUUGGAGCAUUUGAAGAACAAGUAUUAAGUCAAACCAUCCAAUUUUCAUACUCUUGGCCUAUAGCAUCCCAAGAUUUUUCUUCACUAUCAAAAACAACUAAAAAGAAUUCCUUAAGGCACUUCGAAUUGAAAUUACCAAGGUUUCAAAAUUAAAAAACAUCCUGCCCAAAAAAGGCAUCCACCUGGAACCUUUUAUAACAAAAUGAAAUUAUCAUAAUCAUUCCAUCUUCCUAGUUUGUAUACUAUUGCAGCAAUGAAACAAACAUCCCAAGUGGCAAAGAAGCCCUCUAACUACAAACACUACGUUUUACUUACCUAACCAAAAUAAUUGAAGUACGUAAAUUCUACCAAAAAAUUAAAAAGCAAUAGCAUGAUAAAAUUAUUGUAUUUGUCAAAUGAUUCAAACUGAAAAGUAAUAGCAACUUCAAGAUCCAACGACAAAGCACAACAUAAAUUUGAAAUUGUUUACUAUUAAUCAAAAACUCCUAAAAAUUAAAUACCCUUUUGGGUUGAUUUGCUAUUGGCAGUCAAAGAAUUAUUUCAUUAAUAAUUCUCUCAUGAGAAGCAACAGCCCCUGAAGUUAACAGCAAAGUAACUCCAUCAACCAAUAUAUUCAGUCAAUAAUUCAAAAUUUUAACUUAAAAGAAACUAAGCUCGGAAUUGAAAAGAGAUGGGAUAUUAGUGACCAAAUAAUCACAUUAUAAUUAAACACAUUUAUAAUAUGUCAAACAUACUACUAGAUGAAUACAAACAAAACCAAAUACUUGUGUUAUAAUUAAAUAUAUUAAUAAUGUUUUCAUGCAUACCACUAGGUGAAUAUAAACCAAAAGUCAUACAUAUAAAAACGCCAAGAUAGUAAUAGCAACGUGGAAAACAACACCACAAGUAACAAUAACAACAAGAGCAACCACUCCUUGGACUAUAGAUGGACUCCUACAACUCAAAAUCCCUAACCGAAUCUGGAAGACGUUCACUAUUGAGAGAAUCAGAAAAAGACAUCCUAAGAUCGAGUUAAAGAUGGCAUAAAGCAUCCCCUUCCGAAUAGACUUUCUGUUGAAGUGGUUUAUAUAAACUCUUCAUUUGAUUCCGCACCAUUGACGAGUUUGAUCAUUAUCUUCAAGUCAUGAGCCACCAAUGAUGAUGUGAGAAAAACCGCAAAGGAGACGACCUCAAACAACAUCAAGCUCCUGAUUGUGCUGAUUUUGGCAUUGUAGCCAAGACAACCAUCAAUGCUAUGCAACCCUAUAAUGUUGAAAUUAACAUUCUUUUAUUUCCCUAUAUAAAUCAGUAUAAAUUAACAUAUUACUUUUAUUUUCAAAGUUAUUCAAGUAAAAUCAAGUUAGGAGUUAAGAGAUGACAUCCACUUCGCCGCCCUUGAUAGCGUUGUGAGUCUCAACUCCCUAUACGCUACCUUUUCAUUUCUGGGACUCUCAUUCACCACUAUAAGGCUGCAUAGCAUUGAUGGUCGUCUUGGCUGCGAUGCCAAUAUCAUCAUGAUCAGGAGCUUGAUGUUGUUUGAGGUUGUUUCCUUUGCGUUUUUUCUCACAUCAUCAUUGGUGGCUCAUGGCUUGAAGAUAAUGAUCAAACUUGUCAAUGCUGCGGAAUCAAAUGAAGAGUUUAUAAGCCACUUCAACAAAAAGUCUAUUCGGAAGGUGAUGCUUUGUGCCAUUUUUAGCUCCAUCUUGGGACGUCUUUUUCUGAUUCCCUCAAUAGUGUAAAUCCUCCAGAUUCGGCCAGGGAUUUUGAGUUGUAGGAGUCCAUCUACAGUCUAAGGAGUGGUUUCUCUUGUUGUUAUUGUUACUUGUGUUAUUUUUCACAUUGUUAUUACCAUCUUGGUGUUUUUACAUGUGUGACUUUUGGUUUAUAUUCACCUAGUGGUAUGUAUGAAACAUUAUUAAUGUGUUUAAUUAUAACACAUUACUUAGAGGAUGCAUCCUCAUCCCACUCGCUUGGUCAGCAUGCGAGGAAACCUCUACUCCUCCCCCAACCUCUUGCUCGUUGGACACACAGUUUCUUCUUCUCGACUCCACAAACAAAAAUCUCGACGGAGCUUCCCACCACAGUUGUAAAGAGAAGUUGGAAUUGCCCACUACCACUUGCAACGAACUAGGUAAAGAACUCCCAACAGGAUGCACCAAAAUCUUGGCCCAAUGCAGAUUAGUCAUCAGAGCUGUGUCAACAAUGACAAACCCGCCACAUUCAUCCCCAAUUUUCUUAAACACCAUCCGACUCCAAAGGUGUAAUGGGAAACCCAACACCCUCACCCACAUCUCCUUGGCACGACCCCCCUUGCCCAGACAACCAGCCUCAAGGGUCUUCCUCGCCAAGUGCGGCACUCUCUCCUUAACCCUUCAAGAACCUUUGGCAAGCACCCUUUCUGCCUCAAUAAGAAUAUCAAAAUCAAACAAGGGCAAGGUACCUCCAAAACCUGAAAUUUUCACCCCUUUUCAGAGACCAAAGAGCAGUCACAAAAGAACUGAGUGUACUUGUGAUUAAUUAUUAUACUACGGACUUUAAUUAAAUACUACUUUUCUCAUGUUAUUUCUGUGUUAGUGUUAUUCAUAUAUAUAUAGCCUCAUAUCCAUUGACUCCAUGAUUUCUACACUUACUGCUUUGUCCACUGAAGUUACAAAUCAAGACUUCUCACUAAUGUGAGGGUGAUAAUCAAGAUUAAUCUGGAUGAUCUUAAGCCUCUUUCAUGCAAAAACUUGAUUCAUGCCUUCAAAUACAAAGAUGAAAAUACAACUUUCAUCUAUUGGAUGGAAUUGAGAAUAUAAUUUCUAGAAAAAUCAUAAAAACAUAAACAAUUUUAAAAAAUCAAUAAAUAAAAACUUCCAAAAAUAAUGAGAUGGAUUAGCUGAGUUAGGACACGUGUGCGUGGGUGGAGGACAAGAAAAGAAAAGACUUUCCAAAGGAAGAUAUUGUUGUUAUAUUAUGAGAGAGAUAGAUGCAGGAUAGUGGAUCAUUUGGCCUCCCAUGCAUCUCAAUGAAGUUUAUCCAACCAUAAUAAGAAAGCAACUGCCACAUACAAGGACCACUACAACAUCUUGGAUAUCCAUCCACACUAGGUCAAUUUAUCAACUCUCACUACCUUGCUGAAACAACACAAUACUGAUAUAUAGAAUUAUUAUCAUACAAUCUCCAACAAGAAUAUUUCUAUGCAACUCUUUAUCCAAAUCACCAUAAGAUACAUGCAAACAACAAGUGUGCAUUAAGAACAAUUGAACAUUUCCAGUAAAUUAACCUGUAAACACAGUGAUGGUUUAGCACAUAGGACAGAAUUGUUGACUGUUGGAAACCCUUACCAAUAGAUUCUCAGAAGAGAAGUGCGUAAGGACUGUACAUCAUCUUAGCCAUCAUUUCUCAUUAUCAACCACCUUUAAUCAGUAAACCUAUUGAGAGCCUCAUAAAACACCCUGCAGGAAUUCAUCUAUUAGAAUCUAUAACUAAUAAUUAAGAAACUAAAUAAAAAACAUCAAACAACUGAAAAUACAUCCAAAUAAAAGAAACAUGUUAAUUUACAAUAGCUUUUAGAAAAAUUCUAGUGAUUAGAAGCAAUAAUUUUGGUGACAUAAGGCUCUAUUACCAUGAGGGAAUGCCUAAAAUGAUGGCAAUGCCUGUUCAAGCUGAUAGAGAGAUAAGUAAUAUUUGAAUUUGGACAGAAUAAGAAAUCUUUGUUUGAUCCUAUUUCAUCUCUUUUUAUUUUAAGUAACCAAAUAAAAACCAAGUAAAAGAAACAAAAAAACAAUUAGCUAGAAAUUAGAGCAUGAGACUAAUAAAAUAAAAUAAAAAUCUUCUAAUUGUUUAGUCAAAGCUUUCACAAUUCUCAAAGGCGAGACUAUUUCUUUCCCUCCAAAUGGGACCAAAAUAAGCAUAAUGGAGCAACCUUCUAAGCCUUUUUUUCUUUUCCAAUAAAGGAGCUGCACCAACUCAAGAGCAUCCCAUGACUACAUCACCCCCGGUCCAUCAAAUAGAGCAAAAAUCAAUCCCUUGAUUCUUAAUGAAGAUAAAUCAAACAUCUUGACAUACAAACACAAAUCUAGCGUCUUUUUAGCCAAUCCAAUUUCAAUUGGCAAUCUUUUUAUGAAUCAUCAUAUCAAUGAAAAGUUAGACAUACACCAAUACACACUACAACGAAUAUGGGGUUUUGCCGCAAAUUAAUUUGUGAUUAAAUAAGAGCAUCUUGUGGUAGAAGAUUAUAAGUCCAUGAGCAAAUAUUUUUAACCAUAAAAUUUAAUUUUAUAACAAAAUAAACAAUUUUUUCACAAAAAAAAUUUGUGGCAACAUAUCAUUUUUCGCCAUAAAACAAGUUUGUAGCAACAUAUAAUUUUUUUCAUGAAAAUAAUCAUGGUAAAAGGUCAAUUUUUUGUCAUAAAAAAAUUCCUGGUAAAACAUGUAUCUUAUUUAAUGAAUGGCAAUUUCUUUGGAAUAAAAACUUAAGAGACUAUUUGGUAAAGGAAAGCUAGUUUCUCGGAACCAGAUAUAUGCAUAUAUGUGUAUAUACAUAUUCAUUUUAGAGAUGUUAUGACACUAAAAGUAAGGACUGAGUCAGGACGGAACAGGGAAUAACAUGACAUUGAUGAAAUACUUCUAAAACCCAAUUGAAGUCAUUAUCUACAAAUAUUCUUUUCUUCAAAUCAUUGCCACUGGAAAAAAUUGCUGAAUGCUUAGUCUUAGUAAGUCAGCCUGAGAUUCCUUUAAUAAAUGCAUCCUUAUUAAUUUCAGAGUUCAAAAUUUCGAAUCAAUCCCUGUUGAACUGAGAAAUUUCAAGAGAAAUCUUGGUUUAAAUCAAUCUUACCAAUGCUGAUAAUAGCAUCAAGAAGCAAGCCGAGCAGAGGCAGAAAAACUCCACCAGUGAUUUUAGGACUAACAACUUCCACCAGAACUUCCAGGAAUUUUUUUUUUUAUGAUAUAUUUAAUAUUCAUGUUCUUUCUUUCAUCAUUUUAAUAUUGAAUACUGAUUUUAUCAUUCCUAUUUCUUGUCAAACUUGCAAUCUUUGAUACUGACACCUCUCCUUUCUCAUUGGGGGGAAAAGAUUACCAUAGUCCCAUAUGAUGAACUACUAGUGAUCACUAAACAUUCACAUGUGUUUGCUAUUAACUUGCAGGUCCAAAAUCCAACGAACUCCAGAUUAUAGUUUCAUUACUUAAAUUCAGGAAUUUGACACAUGGAUCAAAAAUCCUAGCUGUGGAGACAAAACUCCCAUUAAGUUGAGUUUCUUUCUUUUGAGUAAACAAGUUCAGAGAAUAUAGAAAACUCAGAAUGAAAAGAUCAUUAAGAAUUCAUAUAUGAAACUAAUGAAGAUUGAAAAUAAGUUCUGGAACAUCCGAAUGCAAUUUCCAUUAAUUACAAAUCUCAUAAAAAUAUGUACAAAUUUCAAACUUGGUGUGAUGGUUUAUAUUUUUUUCAUGCCACAAAUUUCAAAUCUUGUUUAUUAGAAUAUAUCCAUUAAUUACAAAUUUAAGAAAAACAGUAUAAAUUUAUUCAUAGUUGGCAUCCUAAAAUUAGGUUCAGACAUGUACUUAUUAAACUCAAACUUGAGGUUUUGAUAUUAAUUCUAAAAAAGAAUGCAUAACACAAUGUAGUUUUUUUCUCUUUUUAUUUCUAUUUUAAUUUUGUUAUUUAGAAAUGCAUGCAUAUAUUCUCAUCACAGAACUAGAAGAAAAAUUUACUGCAUAAAUCAAAAUAAAGCUUUUACAAAAACAACAAAUUCCAAGUUUUUUUAAGUCAUAAAUUAUUUAAACAAAAUUAACCACUAUGGUACAGAAGCUUUUAUCCAGCUUAAAAAAGCUUGGGAAAAUUGUGUUUUCAGCCCACUUUUCUGCCACCUUUGGGUGAGAGACACGUAGCAAAGGGGGGCAUUCUUUGCAUUGUGGUGGUUAGUGGGGCUGUUGAGGGAGAACUUAUUUCGGGUUUGGUAGCAUUAGAAAGGAAAGGGAAAAGCUUGAGCAGCGAGAAAGCUUGGAGGAAGAAGCCAAAAAGGGAGGAGGAGCUGAGGAGUUUUUGUUGGUCUUAGCAGAAGAGAGUACGGGAAGCCAAGCAAAUUGUUACUUGUGAGGAGGGUUAUCAGGUAAAGAUUCAUAUGGGUCUCAUAUUUCACAUUUUCCCACUGCUUUUACUUUCUUUCUGCUGAUUUCUGGGCCCCAUGUGUUGUUUGUGUGCGGACAUUAACAGGCACAUGAUUAUUUUGUAGAAAUUUGAGAUUGCCUGCAUAACUUUUGGGUUGCUCCCACCUUUUUGCACUCUUCCUAACCUCGUGUGUUCUCCCACCAUAACUUACCGGCGAAGACUGAAGAUCCUACUACCACAUGCAAGAUCCUAGGACCCCUAAUGAGAUGGAAUGACCCCUAAUGGUUGGGUCUGGCUGCACUUGUUUUCAAAUUCCACAUUCAUUAAAAACAGAGGGAAAGGAGAUCAGGAUAGAUCAUUAUAGACCAGUGUACCAACUCCCCAUUCAUUUGAGGGAAAACUAAAUAUUAUUCCAUUUGAAUAGAAGUUUAGACCUACACUUGUAGGUUCUGGCUUGCUUCAUAUACUAAAGGAUGAACUAGUUCUGACCAUUUAUAAUGAUACCAUCAGGCAAGGGAAGGGGUCUCCUCAAGUCCAAAGUUUGCUGUAAUGUCUACCAACAUUAUGACACACAAUGGAACAAAUUAGGAGCAUGACAUGAAGGUUGAAUCAUAACAUACAUAAGCAUCUUUGUCCAAAUUGCAUCUCUAGCACAUCAGCUUUUCUUUUUAGUGUGAUGAAGGAGGGAGCCAACUGACCUGAUAUAGUUUCCUGUCAAAGGUGAGUCUGAUAGACAUUUUUCAAGCCAAUAGAAAGAGAGUAGGCAUAGUUUCUUGUCCAAAAUGAGAAAAGAUUAGUUUGAUGGACAUUUUUAACAGCAAAUAGAAACAAACCAAGUACUGCAGCCCUUUCACAUAAAAUUAGGACAUUUGCAUAUUGUAAAUAAUAAGAAAAAAACAUAUGAAGCUAGGCACAAGAACUGAGGCUUCUGGUGUUGGUCGGAUCAUAACAUCCUAUCGCAUUUGUAGAAAUGUAAGAAUAAGAAAACCAACUCUUUAGUAGAUGCAAAGUGACAAUGAGAUGGGGACGUAGGAUGAUAAAAAGUUAUACACUCAUCAGUUUGGAGCGCUUUAAGACAUGCAUCUUAAGAUACAUUCUAAUACCAAACUAAAAUUCUCAAAUAAGAAAACUAAAACGUAUGCUUUUCAUAAUCUCUUUAAAUAGUCUCUGCUUUUCUCUCUAUAAAUAUCAAGAACAGAUCAUCAUCAUCAAUGGCAGUAAACAAGUUUGCAACGAAACACCAACAAGAUCAUGCUUAUUCUCAUCUAUAAUGUUCUUGAAUGGAUUCUGAUCCUUCUUCUCAACUCUUUUUUCUCUUUAUCUUCUGUCUGAAACCCACAUUGCGAAGAUUUCAAAACUUGGAUGCUAUUCAAAUCAUCGAAAAUUGGUUGAAUUACAAGAUAUAUGUGAGGAUUGCUCAUCCUCAUCGCGACUUUGAUUAUUGUGAAUUAUCAAAGAUUGCUUUCAUUCCAUGAUUCAGGGUGAUGAUGAGAAGAUUGUGGAAAAGGGGGAAGUAAAUUUGAGGUGUUUCUAUUGUGAUGUUAACUUAAACGGAAAAUUCCACUAUCUUUAUUUUCUGAUCAAACCCUCUUAGGGGGUUUUGGAUUAUACCCAGAAAAGGAAUUUGGUAAUAGAAACUGGGAUUGAUGAUGGCAUUUAUAGAAGCAAAUCGGAUUUUGCAACUGAUUGAUGCGAGGAAGAUGAGGGGACUAAUGGAAACAAAAGAAAUAAGAUACUCUCUAAUGUUGAUGGAAGUUCUGGAACAAGAGAAGAUGAGGCAGAGGAGGAUUAUUUCACAGGUGACAACAGGGAAUGUGAGAACAAAGGAUUGGAAACAUGGAAAUAGCUCCUUUUGUUCUCUAAACAGUGGAAAAACAAAGGAAACAUGUUUUUUGGUUAUCAAAAAAGAAACAUUUUGGAAACACGGGAAAUAAUGUAAACAAUAAGUGAUCAAAGUUCCAAACGAGGUUUUGGUGUUUUUGGUUCUCAAAAACAAAAAAACAGUUCUCAAAAACAAUCACAAAUGCAAGAAAAUAUUGGCCCAAGCGAAAGCCCACAAGCAAACAGUCCAUCCUCAACCGUAUUCAGGAAAUGAAUUCUUAAUACAGAUAGUUUUUUGAACUAGAUUUAAAGUAGGCAACUUACCUGGAACACGCCUAGAUUUAAAGAAGAGUAAAAGCUAGCAUCCAGCACACAAAAAAAUAAAUAAAUAAAUAAAAUAAAAAAUUGAGACAUUACUCCCAGAAUUUAGAAUCUAUGGAUCUUAAUCCCACAUGGACACCGAGAGCCCCAAACAAUAAACCAAAAAGCCAACAAUCAGCAAUCCAAAUGAAAAUGGAACCAAAAAACUCUAAGUUAAAGAUAUAGAGAACCCCCUUUCAAUUAGAGGCCUCAUUUCAACAGAGUCGACCCUAGCCAAAGUGAGCCAAAACAGAGAACUUGAGGAUCUCGUUUCCUCCUAAUCUAACCAGAUGAUCCGAAAAUUUCUUGAGCAAACGUGAUAUCGUCCUUCGAAACGACGUGGAUAGUGUUCGCCAUUCUAACCGGAUUCGUUUUCGUAGUAGCAUUCUUCCUCCUCAUUUUGCUAUAAGGCUUCCUCCUCAGAAAGCCUAUAGCAAAAUGCUGUAGAUUGGAAAAUAAUUCCAAUUCUACGGCACUUUUUUAACACAUAGGAUGAGGGAGGGAAAAAAAUAGUAUUUUAUAAUUGAAAAGAAGUGCAAACCCAUUUCCCCACCACCCGUUUUCGUGAAAUUUAAAUCCAAUGGCACAAAAGCAAAGAGACCCCUAGAACAUAUCCAGAAAACACAGGAAGCAGAAAAAAAAAAAAAGCAAUUUUUUUUAUUUUCCGGAGGGUUUUGCAUGGAUUUUCUCGGAAAUCAAACGAGGAUGAAUUUUCCCGGAAAUCGAAUGGGGGAUGGAUUUUCUUGGGAAUCAAACGGGGGUUGCAAAAAAUAAUAAUAAUAGUAUGAUUAGAUUAGUACCUGCGAGGAUUGAGAGCAGAGGAAAAUAGGGCCUUUUUUCGGGAUUCUCUCGUCUGGAGGGCAACCUCGGAAAAGGGCUUCUUGAUGCCCGAGUGAGAGAGAUUUGACUUAGGUUCAAUCCUUGGCUACCAUUGAAUUAUGAUGCUCUUUGAUAUAUUCAAUUUAAAUUUGUUAAGGUUCAUCAUUAAAAAAAACUUAAUUUUAAUUAUUUUAUUUUAAAUUAUAUUUAAUUGAUUAAUAAAAAAUAUAAAAAUUAAUAUUAUAAUUUUUUUAACAAGUCUUUUUUAUAUUAUUUUUAUGAUAAUUAAAUAUAAAAAAUAUAAAUAUUAAAAAAAAUCAUAUAUGUAUCAUGAUAAGAUAAUCUUUUAGGUAGUAGUAUCUUAUUGAAGUUGUUGGCUUUAAUUAUUUUCCUAGUCUUUCUGCUUCUAGGUGAAGGUUUCUUUGAUUAUCAUUAUUUGGUUUUAUUUAAUUAAUUAAUUUUAAAUUUUCAUUAUCAAAUGAUGGAAUAUAUAUUUCGUUUUUUGUUGCUUUCUUUUGGUAAGGAUGACGCUAUGAAUCAUGGCAAUUAGUUGUGGAAUUUUUUUUUCCCUAGAUGAUGAUAAUUUUUAAAAUAUGGUCUUUAAUAGUUUUAGUUGUUCAUUUGGAAGUAUUAGACAACCUAUUUUUAUUUUAUAUCUAGUAAUGUUUUUUCAUCCAUUACUCGAUUAUGAGGUGUACGAAUUAGAGGGGGAGGGGCUCAUACGAGAGGGACUAGGCAUACAUCUGUUCUUAGAGAUGCACCAUCAACUAACAUUAGCCCGCCACCUGUUGAGGAGACUUCUAUUACACCUAUAGAGGUGUCAUGCACCCCACCUGUAGUACCACUUGUUGCAUCAUCACCACAACCGAUAGAGGCUAUAUUGGUUGAUGAAGAGUUAGUUCAUAUAGCAAAUGAUGAUCAGUAAAGAUAAAAGAAUGAUCGUGGUCGAGGACGUGGUAGGAGAUGUGGUUGUUGAGCUCAUGGAGGGGUACAUAUUAGCCCCAUAGAGCCAAUAGUGGAACAUGCAUAUCAUGGACGUCCACAACAAAAAAGGAAGGCUCCUUCGUGCAAUACGCAUUGAAGAUGUUACUAUAUAUGACUUAUAUUUUGGAUGUUGUAAGUAUUUUGUAUAUCAUUAUUUUAAACAAAUACUCGAGAUGUAUAUUUAUACUUGUUAUGUUUUGGAUUAACUAACUUUUUAUUAACGUAAGUUCUAUAGUAUUUUUAUCUAUUUUGAACUUAUUUAACACAAAAUAGUAUUGUUACUAAGGUGUUUCUUGAAAAAACAUUUUUAGCAUAAAUUCGAAAUUUUUAACUGUAUAUGAAAAUUGUGGAAAUUGUCUAAUUCAAAAAACACAUAAUAUUUUUUUUUUUUAAUUAUGGAUUUAGUAUAAAUCCAAUUUUUUGGGGAUUGCAGGUGUCUUUCAAGAGACACCUUCAAUAUAAAAUCAAUACAAAUUAAAAUUUGUGAAAUUAUGGAAUCAAAACUUUAGUACAUACUGGAUUUUAUAGAAUUGUGAAAAGUGUCUCUUGAAGAAACACCUUCAGUAUAAAUCUAAUUUUGUUGGAAUUGUAGAAUGUGUCUUUUGAAGAGACAUCUUUAAUAUAAAAUCAAAUUUAAGAGACACAUAAUAGUAUAAAUUAAAAUUUGUGAAAUUAUGAAAGGGACACUUUCAAUAUAAAUCCAAUUUGUUGGGAAUAGUAGAAUGUUUUUUUUUCAAAAGACUCCUUUAGUAUAUAUUGGAUUCUAUGGAAUUGUAGAAGGUCUCUUGAAGACACACCUUUAGUAUAAAUCAUUUUUUUUUGGGGAAUUAUAGAAGGUGUCCUUUAAAGAUUUAAUAUAAAAUCAAAUUUAAGAGACACGUAAUAUAAAUUAAAAUUUGUGAAAUAGUGAAAGGUGUCUCUUGAAAAGACACUUUUAUAUAUAUUGGAAUUUGUGGAAUUAUGGAAAGUGUCUCUUUGAGACACCUUUAGUAUAAAUUAAAAUUUUUUGAAAUUGUAGAAGGUGUCUCUCGAAAAUAAAAUUCAUGAGAAUGUAGUGUAAAUUCAAAUUUGUCAAAUUAUGGAAGAGAUGCCUUUAAUACAUAUUGGAUUUUAUGGAAUUGUGGAAAGUAUAUUUUCAAGAGGCACCUUUAAUAUAAAUCCAAUUUUCUAAAAUAGUAGAAGAUGACUCCUGAAUAGACACCUUUAGUAUAUAUUGAAAUUUGUGGAAUUAUGAAAAGUGUCUCUUUAAGUGAUACUUUUUGUAUAAAUUAAAAUUUUUGGAAUUGUAAAAAAUGUCUUUUUAAGAGACAUUUUUAGCUUGAAAUCAAAUUCAUGAGACAAAUUCAAAUUAAUCAAAUUAUGGACGGUGUCUCUUCGUUGGAUUUUAUAGAAUUUUGAAAAGUAUCUUUUCAAGAGAUAUCUUUAAUAUAAAUUAAAUUUUUUGAAAUUGUAAAAGAAAAUGCACAUUUAGUUUAAAUUCAAUUAUUUUAAAUAUGUAUCAUAAUUUUGAAAAUUAUGAAAGGUGUCUAUUUAAAAGACACCUUUCACAUGACAAAUCUAUUUUAAAAUGUUGCUGCAAAAGUUUAAAAAAACCGCUUCCUAUAGACCUGUAAAUGAUGAAGCCUACUACUCCACCAAAUUAUGACUAUAUAUAUAUAAAAUUAUGGGAGAAUUGUGUUUUGGGCCCAGUUGGGUCUAAAAAUUAACAUUUGGUCCAUAUAACUUCCAUAAUUGAUGGAAAUGAUAUAAGAUGUUAAAAAACCAAUAUAUCUUUCAAAUUUCUAUACAUUACCUUUUAAGGAUAUAAAAUAGUGAUGGACUAAAAUACCCAAUAACCUUUCACAUAAGUUUUUUUUGUCUUUAUUGCACCACUAUUCAUACAACCAUAAUAAUUCUAUUUUAACAAUUUGGAUUUUUUUAUUGUUUUUUUUAAAUUAUAAAUAAUUGAAAAUCAACAUUAUUUUCUAUUUUAAAUUAUAAAUAAAGAAAAAUUAUGUUCAAAAACUAUUUUAAAAAACGCUUUCUAAAAAAUAGUAAUAUGAUUUAUAUUUUUUAUAUUUUCUUUUUGAAAAAACGUUUAAUUAAAAAACGAAAACUAUUUUUAAAAAUAAAAAUUGAAAAUUGUACUAUUUUUUAUAUGAAAAUAAUAAAAAGAAUUAAAUUUUAGUAAUUGAUUAUCCAUUUUUAUUUUUUUCCAUUAGUUAUUUUAAUAAAAAAAAAUAGUAUGUUUACAAUUAAACAAAUAAAUUGAUCAAUUAUGUGUUUUUUGUGGAACUAUCUUUUACAUGAAAAAUAAUUAAAUAACUAAAUUAUAUAUAUUUAUUACUCUUUUUAAUUUUAUUUUCUUUAUUUAUUUUUUGUCUAAUAGAAAAUUUUAAUAUAUCCAUAAUUAACAAAGUAAUAAAUCAAUUGUGCAUAUUUUUAUCUAUUAAAAUAAAUUACUUUCUAAUUUAAAUAAAUAAAAUAAAAUAAGUAAAUAAAUUUGGGGUUAUUUCUAUUUUUUAACAUAUCUUAUAUCAAUAUUUUUAAUGAUUAAAUAAAAUUUUUAUUUUUUAUUUCUUUAAUUCCAAAAAUAAAAUGAAAUAAAUAAAUAAAUUUGGAAUUUUCCAAUUGAUCUUAUAUUCAUAUUUCUCAUGGUUAAAUAAUUUUUUUAUUCUUUUGUCUUUAUUUCCAAAAAUAAAAGGAAAUAAAUAAAUAAACUUGGUUUAAAUAAUAGUUUUUAAGUAAUUUUUUUAUCUUAUUUUUAAUUACAUUUUGCAUUGAAAAUAAAAUAAAAUAACGUUUUAUUUGAGUCACUGUACAAGGUAUUUACACUAAGUGUACAUGACAAAUAUACUAAUUGUACAAGGGUGUACAAGACUAUUAUUUGUGAAGGAUUUUAAGUAAUUUUGAAAAACUUGUUUGUUUAUUUCCCCUAACCGAGGAUAAAUGAAAUUCCUUAUACACAUUGGUUAAGCAUACAUUCAUUUCAUACACUUUAUCUAACUUGUAUAUGGUCAUUUGAAUAGGUACCUCACUUAUGAUGAUUGUAAAACAAAAUUAUAUAAUAAUUUUUCUUCUUUUUUAAAACCAAACCAAUGCAAACAUGGUUAACCAACCUAUUGUUAGAUAUUCAUGAGAUGAUGCAUGAAAUUUGAGUUAUUGUAUAAGGGUAUUACACUAACUGUACAAGACAAAUUUACUAAUUGUACAAGGGUGUACAAUACUACUUUUUGUUAAGAAUUUCAAGUGAUUUUGAAAAACUUUCCCAUUUUUUUCCACUCAAAUAUUUUUUUCCCCACUCAAAUUCUCUCACUCAAGAAUUGUUUCGAAUUUUAUUUUUAAAUUUCAUCAUCAAAUUUUUGUAAUUGCAUAUUUUGUUUUUAUAGUUUUAGCAAUGUUAUUUCUUUCUACUAUUUUUUUUUUUUGUGAAAUUUUAUCCAAAUGAAUCUAUAUUUAAAAUUAUAAUCAUAUUUAUCAAAUUUUUUACUUAGAUUAUCUUUAAUUCUUUUAAUAUAUUUAUACUUGUUUAUUUAAAAAAAAUGAAAAACUAAUUUUUUUUUCUAAACAUGUUCUAUUACCUUUCAAGUAAAAAAAUUAGAUAAGUUUGAAAGUCAAUAAAAAAAAUUAAAUACCACUUUCAAUAAUUUUUAGAUAAACUUUUAUAUAAUAUAUUUUAUUUGAAAUUUAAUUUUUAAAGUUUUACUAAAAAAUUGUACUACAAUUUUCUUGUUGUGAAUCAAAAUACUUUGCAUUAGUCUAUCUAGAUAAAAAAAAUUAUUAAUAUAAUAUUAGAACUUCAUAUCUUAGUUAUUUUUUUCAAUAAAUUUAUCUUUUAAAAAAUUUUAAAAUAAAAACAUUAAAAAUUAAAAAGCUAAAAGGAUAUAUAUAUAUAUAUAAUAGAGUGAAGUGAUAGUCAAUUUAAAUUUUUUUUAAAAUAUGGUUAAUGUAGCAAAUAUAAAAAAUAAUUAAAAAUAAGAGAAAAAUAUAAAUGAAAGGGUAAUAUAAAUUUAAAAUAAAAAAUAAAAAAUAAAACUAAAAGAUAAAUACAAAAAGAUAAAAAAUAUUUGGAUGAAAAAUCCCAAAAUUUUUAUCAUUGCUUAUAAUAAGAGUAAAAAGAUUCAAUAUCUUUAAAAAUGAAAAACAAAAAAACAUUAUUGCUUUUUAUUUGACAUAAAAUAGGAAUAUAGAUUGGAAGAAAAAAAAAGUUAAAAAUGAGUAAUACUUAAUAGGAAUAGAAAAGGGAAAAAAAAACACAAAAAAAUUGAAAUUCACGCUCACUUAUGCCUGUGGAAGAGUUAAGGGUAUUUUAGGGAUUAAUGAAGGAUAAUAUCCUUCAUCUUAAUUUUCAUACUUUGUUUGGGUCUUGGGCUUAAAUAUGCAUGAUAUUUGGACCAAAUGUUAAUUUUUGAACCCAGCUGGGCCCAAAACACAAUUCUCCCUAAAAUUAUCCCUUGGAGUCAACGUGAGUUCGCUUCUCAUUGGAGGGGUCCCGUAAGGUGGGUCCCAAUCGGUGAACCCCACUAUCUUUCUUCCUAAAACAUCCUCAGGUUUUAUUCCUUAUUUUAAUUAAAAAACAAUUUAUAAUAUUUUCAAAAAAUUUAACUUUCAAUCAAAAAAAAUAAUAAUAGUUAAAUAAAGAUAAGUUUUUUUUUUAUGUAAGGUAUGGAAAAAAAUAUUAUUAAUUAUUUGCUAUAUUAAUGAUUUUUUUUUUUAAUAUUUAGCAUAUUGAUGAGUGCCAAAAUGACAAUAUUUAAGAUAAAUAAAGAACAAAAAAAAGGUAAAAGAACCAUAGAAAAGUCUAUUAAAUAAAAAAUACAAGUAAAAUAUAAGUAAAAUAAUGCAUGUCUUACAUAACAAAGGUUUAUUUUAUAUUUACGUAUUAUCUUUUAUUUAUAAUUAUAUUUUAGGUGUCUCACAAGUUUUUUAAUUAUAUUUUAUUUUCUUUACUAAUUUUCACAAGUUUUGCUUCUUUUUUAAUAAUGUCAGUUACAAGCAUCAACCCAUAAAUUUAUAGAUGUCAUUAAAUGAAGUAUAACAUUAUUUCUUAAUAAAAAUCUUUACCUUAUGAAAUAAAAUAUUAUAAAAUUUUAAGUUUUAUUUAGUGUGUUUUACUAUAAGUGAUUUGUCAAAUCUUUUUUAGAGCACGUUUGACAGUAAUUAUAAGAAGUAUUUCUAACAUUUUUAGUACUUGAAAAAUGAAAUUUUCAAAUGUUUUAGAUGUUAGAAAUACUUCCUAAAAUCACUACCAAACAUACUUUAAGUGAAUCAAUUAAGUGAUUUUUGAUUGGUGUUGGUUAAAUCCUUACGUUCCUUUAAUAAUUGAUUAAUUUAAAUAUAAUUAUAUUUAAAUAGGGCAAGCUAUACAAUGAGUGUAGGGAGGCUAAUUAAUCACACAAGAGUGUGAAAAAAUAGGAGAUAAUAAAAUCAACAAUUUAAGGGAGUACUAAUUUGCUUUUAAUGUGUUCGGAAGUAACCAAGUAGGUGCCAUGCAUAGAAUUUGAACAAGAUCAAAGACUUCUCAAACCCUUCCCUGGUAUAAAAUGGAGUCAAGAUUUAUCAGAAUUUUAGUUCAUGUAUAUGAUUGAAUAAUGAGACCUAGUAGACAGCCUUUUUUCUCAUCCUAUUUAUAUACGAGUAAUUGUUUAAUAAAUCUACCAUUUGCCUAGUAUAGUACUUAUACAGCACAUUUUGGCACCCUUUUGUUAAGUAUUGAAUUUAAGGUCUGUUUGGCAUAAUAUUUUGCGUCUUUUUAGUCAGAAAGCAAAACAUGAGUCAUAAGUAGAAGUCGCAACUUGUAUUUGGCUAAUGGAUUAGCAUUUGGAAGAGCUUUUGCCACAAUCUAUAGACUUCAUCUUUAACAGGUUACCCUGACUGACAGUGAGGAGAGUGUGAUCUAAAGAGAAAUUGAAGCUCCAUUUACAAGAAAUUUCAAGAGAAACUCACACCCACCUUUGGAAGGAACUCAAAGGUCCACUGACACCCAAACAGCUUCCAAUUAAUACUUCAAAUUCACAUCAUCAAACAAGACCAUCAACUUCAACAUUCACUAAAGAAAUUAGCUCAAAAAAAUUCAAAAUCCACAAUUCCAAGUCUGCAUUUUUUUAAACUGGGAUUUGAAGGGUUCAACAAAACCUGAAUCCAGUUUGCACAUAUGGCACAUUAACUUUAUUACAAGAUUAAACUGGCCGGAUAAUUGAUAAUUGUCAUUGGCCUUUUGAUUCAGAGAUGGACUGUAAUGGGCUUGUAGUCGAAAACAAUGACUUUCUCCAGGUGGGGCAGGAACAGAUUUGCAAAUUCGACAUGGGCUGGAUGAGACACAUACUCUGCAAUGCCUUCCACGCUCUCAAAGGUUGACUCGAAGACAUGAGUGAAACCUUGAUGCAUGUUCUCAAUGCUCACAUCCUUGCCCCUGUUACAUUACACAAGAUGUCACAAGUUUUAGAGAUUUUGAAGGCAUGGUAACAAGCAGCAUAACCAUUUCGCCAGGCACAACUCAAAGACAUCAGACUCAAACAUGAACCAUCGUAAAUUUCUUCACUUACAUGAAAACAAAAAUGUUAGAAAGGGAUCUAUAGGUUCAACAGAAAUUGUUCUGAUUCUAUGAGCAACUGAUGCCUCAUUAUCAGAUGAGUUCAGGGCAUCUGCUUGGCAAAUUAAUAUUGAAGUUCACUGAGUCAUCAUUGAGGCUUUUUGUUCAUUAUGAAAAUGGAAGCAGUCUCAGUUCUUAUACAAAAAGCAGAUACUGAAGACAAUUUCAUCAUUCAUGUAAGAAAACCUAUGAAAAUCCAAGCAUGUUAUGCAGAUGACCUACUAAGAGUGGGUCGACAAUAUUUCUAUUUUAAGUAUUUUUAGUGAAAGUGUUUUCGUUAGAAAUGUUUUUUAGAGAAUCACUUAUCAAGUGCUUUCCCAAGAAAUACUACAGGUGAUUUUUCAAUUUUGUAAAAAUGUUUUCUAAAUUUUGUCAAAUACUUGAUUUUUUUCCAAAAGUGCUUUUUAAACAAAGUAUUUUCUAAAAACAUGGUCAAAUGGGUUCUAAAUCGUGUUAGACACAGACUCUAAUUCCAUCCAGGUGCUCAAAGGGCAUCUUUCACAUAAAUGAAGCCACAAAAGAAAGAGUGACUUCUAAUCAAACUUUAAGGUUAACUUUCACAUCAAACUUAGAAGUACCGAAACUAUGAUUUGGUAACCUGGUUUUAGUUGUUGUGAAUCUAAACAUGUACAUGAGGUUUUGAUUGCUAAGAAAGCUGGCACCAUCUUGAUGAGAGUUCUCAAGACGUGCUUACUAACUUUAAAAAAAUCACUUUCAGAAAAAAGUCCUGCAGCAUAUAUUGUCAAGCUAAAAGAGGAAUAUUUUGGUUCUAGCUACAUGCCAAAGCACUAAAUUAUCUUCACUUAUUUUCCUUUUAGGCAUGCUAAAAAGCAUUCUAUAGAGUAUAGACAACUGAUAUUUCACCUGUGAAGUUUUUUCAACACAUGAUAUGAUAAUUAUUUGAAAAUUUGGAACUUUCUUCUCAAUAUAGGACCAGAUGUUCCUGAACUUCUAUAAAAUUUUAAAAAAUAUAUAUAUAUACAAAGAAGCACCAACAAACUUUCGGGUUUUCUAAGGUUUAUUCAUAAAUCAAAUGUUGCCCAAUAUGGGAGACCAAGAAGCAAGACUAAACGCCUACUGUGAAACAGCUGCAACUCAUCCUAAUACCCCUUUGGAAACAAUUGUAUUAGGCUCCUUUCAGAAAGCCCACACCACUACAAACAACAAAGAGAGGCACCUCAAGCAUUCACCCUACCGACAUUGUUCAACAAUUUAGAAGGGGAUUCUCAAACCCAACCUAAGUCAAUCAACUUCAUCCGAGUCUUCAAUACAAAAUCUGAAGAAAAACUCCAGCAAAUCCAACAGAUACAUGGAUCCAAUCUAUCCAAGAAUCACCCAUCCACAUAAUUUGAUGAUUUAUGAAAUUUUCCAGGAAUGUGUUUGGAUAAUUUUAUGCUACUUACGAUUUGAAUCAAGCCAAAAAGUGGGUCAGAUUACAUUAAUUAGUAUGUGCAGAGUGUAAAUUUUCAACCCGAUCAACAAAAUUGCUGAUAACCCCCAGAUACUUGCCACAAAUUCUUCUGAUUCCCAAAAAGAAAACACUCAAACAAGUAAAAUCACCAGAUCCAGAAGAUGACACCAUAAAUAAAGAUUGCCAGAGCAUUUGGUAGUGAAACUUAUAGUGGAAAAAUGCCACACAACUCACUCAAUUCCCAAUUAAAACUACUGGGUUGUGCCCAAAACCGGAUCCCCAACAAUACCCAUUUGGCAGAUCACACAAAAAUCCAAGAAAUCCCAAGAAAACAACUGAUAUAGAUUCAAGAGAAUAACAACUCACUCAAAACCGAAUCCCCAACAAUAACCAUUUGGAAGAGCCCAUAAAAGCUAAGAAAUCUCAAGAAAAUGACAAUGAAACAGAGAAAAAUGAAGCAAAAUUAUUGACUCAGAUUGAAGAGAAGUACCAGUGGAAGGCUUUCAUGGGAGGCACCAGAUUGACAAGGUUGGCAUAGCCCUUGAUGAGUUCUUCAAUCUGGUCAGGUGGGGUUGAAUCUUUGAAUUUUGCCAGCAAUACGUGCUUUACCACCCCCUUCGCCUCUUCCAUUCUACUCUCUCUUAGGACUCUUCCCCUUUCUCUGUGCCACCUUGCUUGCUUAUCUAAAAAGCUGUCAGCCAAUCAUCUACAAAGUACUGCAAGAAUGAUUUGAGAUGAAAAUCCAAUUGGAAAAGGUAACCAAUUUUCAUCCUUUAGAAAAAUUUAUCAUUUUUUAUUGCCUUACAUACAAAAAGAUUUCCUUAAUAUACAAAUUAUUUUUUACCUCAAAUUAUUUAUUUGUAUGGAAAUGUUUUUUUAAUAUAAAAAGUGAAUUUUUAACUUUCACUCCAAAUUUGAAGGAUACUCUCAAUUAAUAUUUAUUUUAAUUUUAGAAAAAUUCAAACUAAGAAUAAAAAUAAAAAAUAAAAAAUCAGACAAGUCACGUGAUCAUUUUCAUUGAUAAUAGAAAAAAUGUGACAAAAUGAGCAUUUAUACAAUUUUUUUAACUAAUUGAUAAGUUUUUUUAUUGUAUGCAUGCUUACCAAGGAGUUUAGACUUCACAAGCUACACUUCUUUUUUCAUUGAUUGCUACACUUUCUUGUACACAUUUAUCAAGAACUUGGGGGCCCAGAAUUUGAGAUGGAACGUUUAAACAUUUGGUUUUGCCAUCUAUCUAAUGAAAACCCAUUUGUUUUUCUUUUUAAUGUUUUAUUAUAUUUGGUUCGGAAAAAUAUUAAGAAAAAAAAAGUAUUAAAAUAAUGUUUUUUUUCUAUUUUAUUACGAAAAAUAUGAAAAAAAAAAAAGUUAAAUAUAAUUAAAAUUAAUAAUUUUUUUAUAUAUAUUUAAAUUAUUUAAUAUUUAUAUAAAUGAGUUAAAUCCCAUAAAUGGUUCUAGUUAAUGAAAUGAUCCAUAGAAUCUUCGUUACACCAUCCACCUUUUAGGCUUUGAGCAUUCUCAGACCUUUCCAUUCUUUUCAACCGCAGGAGUUGUACUUCAUUGGAAACGGAAGUGAUUUUGGAUUGGAAGCGGAUAUUCCAACUAUCUUCCAAUUAAUACUCCAAAUUCACAAUAUCAAACAAGACCAUCGACCUCAAAAUUCACUAAAGAAAUUGACUCAAAAAUUCAAAUACCACGACACCAUCCAGUCUGCAUUUUUAUAAGAGAUUAAACUGGCCGGAUAAUUGGUAAUUGUCAUCUGCCUUUUGGUUCAGAGAUGGACUGCAGUGGGCUUGUAGUCCAAAACAAUGACUUUCUCCAGGUGGGGCAGGAACCGAUUUGCA
rnacentral:lncRNA from 1 species